rnacentral:rRNA from 1 species
GAAUGCUGACAUAAGUAACGAUAAAGCGGGUGAAAAGCCCGCUCGCCGGAAGACCAAGGGUUCCUGUCCAACGUUAAUCGGGGCAGGGUGAGUCGACCCCUAAGGCGAGGCCGAAAGGCGUAGUCGAUGGGAAACGGGUUAAUAUUCCCGUACUUGGUGUUACUGCGAAGGGGGGACGGAGAAGGCUAUGUUGGCCGGGCGACGGUUGUCCCGGUUUAAGCGUGUAGGUGUGUGUUCCAGGUAAAUCCGGUUCACUUUAACACUGAGGCGUGACGACGAGGCACUACGGUGCUGAAGCAACAAAUGCCCUGCUUCCAGGAAAAGCCUCUAAGCAUCAGGUAACACGAAAUCGUACCCCAAACCGACACAGGUGGUCAGGUAGAGAAUACCAAGGCGCUUGAGAGAACUCGGGUGAAGGAACUAGGCAAAAUGGUGCCGUAACUUCGGGAGAAGGCACGCUGACACGUAGGUGAAGUGAUUUACUCAUGGAGCUGAAGUCAGUCGAAGAUACCAGCUGGCUGCAACUGUUUAUUAAAAACACAGCACUGUGCAAACACGAAAGUGGACGUAUACGGUGUGACGCCUGCCCGGUGCCGGAAGGUUAAUUGAUGGGGUCAGCGCAAGCGAAGCUCCUGAUCGAAGCCCCGGUAAACGGCGGCCGUAACUAUAACGGUCCUAAGGUAGCGAAAUUCCUUGUCGGGUAAGUUCCGACCUGCACGAAUGGCGUAAUGAUGGCCAGGCUGUCUCCACCCGAGACUCAGUGAAAUUGAACUCGCUGUGAAGAUGCAGUGUACCCGCGGCAAGACGGAAAGACCCCGUGAACCUUUACUAUAGCUUGACACUGAACAUUGAGCCUUGAUGUGUAGGAUAGGUGGGAGGCUUUGAAGUGUGGACGCCAGUCUGCAUGGAGCCGACCUUGAAAUACCACCCUUUAAUGUUU